ACAAUGAUUAUUUGUACAGAAUAUCCAGAAAUCCUAUUGCAGGGGACAACUACACAAUUGAAAUAACAGUGUACAAUUUACUGAACUACAGUAACGCACUAUCAGAUGUUAUUCUGACUGAUAAUUAUGGCACUGUAGAACAUCUCAACAUAACACAUGUGUCAUCGUCUUACGCAACAGUGGCUUUGGCAUCAACUCAGUUUACAGCGCAGGAAUAUCAAGUCAGCAUUUCUGGUAUCGAUGAAUAUGGAAAUACUUUCCGCAGAACAUCUUCAUCGAAGAUAAGACCAGUUAAGCUCAAGCUAAUCGUAAAUGUGCCUUCAGAAUUGAUCGCCGAUACUACAUCAAAGAUCGAGUAUACUGCCUUAAACUACUCACCAAACAACCAGACAUUCAUCGUAA